rnacentral:misc_RNA from 1 species
AUAAAGCCCUGACAUCUGGUCUUCGGAUCGGAGCAGAGGUUAUGCAGGCGCCGCCGUUCCACGUUUCUCUUUCUUCAGUAAAGGAUAAAGAACCUUGCUGCUCCAGUAAUGGCUGGGCUCUGCAGGCUGUUCUUAGGGCCUGUAGCUCAGUUGGUUAGAGCACACGCNUGAUAAGCGUGG